rnacentral:rRNA from 1 species
GAUGAACGCUGACAGAAUGCUUAACACAUGCAAGUCAACUUGAAUUUGGGUUUUUUCACUUAGAUUUGGGUGGCGGACGGGUGAGUAACGCGUAAAGAACUUGCCUCACAGCUAGGGACAACAUUUGGAAACGAAUGCUAAUACCUGAUAUUAUGAUUAUAAGGCAUCUUAGAAUUAUGAAAGCUAUAUGCGCUGUGAGAGAGCUUUGCGUCCCAUUAGCUAGUUGGAGAGGUAACGGCUCACCAAGGCGAUGAUGGGUAGCCGGCCUGGGAGGGUGAACGGCCACAAGGGGACUGAGGCACGGCCCGUACUCCUACGGGAGGCAGCAGUGGGGAAUAUUGGACAAUGGACCAAGAGUCUGAUCCAGCAAUUCUGUGUGCACGAUGACGUUUUUCGGAAUGUAAAGUGCUUUCAGUUGGGAAGAAAAAAAUGACGGUACCAACAGAAGAAGUGACGGCUAAAUACGUG